rnacentral:rRNA from 1 species
UACGUAGGGUGCAGGCGUUAAUCGGAAUUACUGGGCGUAAAGCGUGCGCAGGCGGUUUCUUAAGUCAGAUGUGAAAGCCCCGGGCUUAACCUGGGAACUGCGUUUGAAACUGGGAGACUUGAGUGUGGCAGAGGGGGGUGGAAUUCCACGUGUAGCAGUGAAAUGCGUAGAUAUGUGGAGGAACACCGGUGGCGAAGGCAGCCCCCUGGGUUAACACUGACGCUCAUGCACGAAAGCGUGGGGAGCAAACAGG